rnacentral:lncRNA from 1 species
GCCUUGGUGUUCAAGAAGAUUCCAGAAGAAGCCAAGAUCUGCCAGCCCUGCCCGUUCUCUCACCCCGCUUCCUGGAUCCAAGCAAGACACGGGCUGAGCACGUCCUAAUCUGUGUCCUGGAAAACAACACUCUACCCCACAGCAACGAGGCAUGGAGGCCAAUGGAGGAGACAGGGAGAUGGUGCUGGAAGCAGGGUCUGCUAUUCCCCCAGGGAAGCACUGCAUCACCAGUGUCUGACACAAAGCCUGGGACAUGUGGGCUCCCAAGUGGACCUGUCCUGGAUAAAUGACCAUUAAUGAGACAGAGAAGGAGUUGAAGAGCCCCCAGAGGAGUGGGAGUCCCAGGGGUCCCGCCAGCUCCACUCCCACCUUCCAAACCUGUGAAAGUCAGGUGCCUGAGUCACACAGUCUCUCCCACCCGAAUGCCACGAGCUGCAGGGACCCAGCCUGUCUCUGCAGGACUUGCAGGAGGGCAGGACAUGCCAUGACAUCACCAGCUCCACUAGAAAUAUGGGAUAAAAGGAGUGGCUGAGAUCUGCUGAUCCCCUGCUCACUCCACUGCAACCACCCAGAGCCAUGGCUCCCCGAGGCUGCAUCAUGGCUGUCUUUGCCAUUUUCUGCAUGUGACUCUCCCUGCCUCCACUCCCCCCACCACCCCAUGAAAUGAUCUCAUUUGGUCAUUUAAGUGGAAAACUGAAAAGUUUUAAGUGACUCCGGGAGAGCAGGAGACAGGCGGGUCUCCCAGCUGAGACCCCGCCCUGGACACCCCCACGGAAGCUGCACAGCAGGAGGUAGUCGCCCAAGGCACCGCGCGUGCACUGAGAGGCCUCGCUCAGCCCCGCCCCUCUUAAACCUGGAAUCCUCAGGUGUCUGGGUCCUGCCCCAUACGGGCCCCCUAGACCACUAGUCCAGAUCCCCCACCUUCCCCCAACACGAGGUAUUGACAUCAAAGCAUCACCUCAUCUGGCACAAGAAUCUGAAACACAGACCACACCUUACACCAAAGUGGUGAAUCUCUCCUUGGAACUGAGUCAACAAGCCCAGAGUCGGGGCUCUGAGUUCCCGCCCAAAUGCCACGCAUGCGCACGGAAGGUACCUGGCGUCUCUUCUAAGGGACAGGAAUCUCAGGCAUCCCAGAUUCACUAGGUCUGAUUUAAAUAGCAUCAAAUAAAUUGGAAAAGAAUGAAAGUGCUAUAAAGUUUGGCUGAAAUUUUCAGAGGUUGUAUCGGUCCUGUCUGGUGAAGGGAGUGAACAAGUCUUCUCUGAACUUUCAUGAGGAUGAAGAACAGUCACUGCGGUGAUGGUAACAAGUCACCGACCACCUCCCAGAAAUUCUCUUAACCGGUCCUCACAGCAGCACUGCAUGCUCAGACCUCAUCAUCCACAUUCCACCAAGAGGAAGCUGAAGCCCGGGGCCUUCAUCCACUCAUGUCUCCAGACCCCUGGCACGAUCCUGGGCCCCACCCCAUCAUCCAGGCCUUGGACCUUCGACCUGGGGAGGGUCCCUGUCUCCUCCAUGAGCCGUCCUGGGCCCGAAGAGGUAUCCAAUAAACAAGAAAGCAGAACAGAAAGAGCUGUGAUGGAGUGGAUCUUAUGUAGUAAGAAUAAAAUUAUUUUGAGAA